CAGGGUUAGUUUUAUAAAAAUAUCGGUUUUGGGGACCGAGGAUAGGAAUUCUUUCCUACGCCUGA
rnacentral:tRNA from 1 species